UUUCAGGGCCUUUGAAGAAUAUACAGAAUGUGAAAGUGCCACACUUCUGAAGGCAACAAUGUUUGGUUUCUUGCCCAAGGUGGAGGCAGAUGUCAUGGGAGCCUGGGAGAGUUUGUGACCCCUCCAGGCAACACUAAGGGUAAUGAGGUUGUGUAUCAAACAUUGAUGAAAGGAAAGCUAAAAGAGGACAUGCUAAGGAAGAGGAUUCAAAAAAUGAUAAAAGUGAUGUUAUGUACUCACUACAAGUCAACAAACAACAAAAUAUGAAUUACACUGACAAGUUUGGUCAAAUAUUUGAUUUAAACUUCAUGUAACACAGAUAACCCAGUAAUGGCAGAAAUGCUGCAAAAACAACCUGCAAGAAGAUCUCUACUUCUCUUCAGGAGAUACUUGAAUACUUUCAGUUUCAAAAUUGAAGAUUACUUAAAGGCUACUUGCCACACAGAAGAAAUUAAGGCUGAAAAGUUUUAUCAGUUCCAUGUAUGAUUUCGUGGUUGAGAAUAAAACCAGUGAAUGGUAUGUAAAAGAACUUUGGUUUAAAGGUAACAAUAUGGACAUUAUCAACCCACAUGAAACAUAGAUUUACAAAUGACUAGAAAAUUCAACAUCUCUCCCAACCAAUCCUUGUAAUCAGACGACAUAUGGGGGGCAGGACAGUCAACAGGUACGCCCACAAUUUUGAUGAAGUCUAUUGGCAGGGACUCUUUCUUGAAAAAGUAGGAUACUUUGAGGGCUUGUGAUUGGUUUUUCAAGUCAAGUGGUUAUUAUAAGAAAAUAUUGUCUAUAACUAUGCAUGGGAUGAAAUCUUUAACCUAACCUGAGAGCAAUCACCAAAAUCUUCUCUAUUACCUACUAGAUGACCUACAUGACUUUAUACAGCUCUUAGACUGACACUCAUUUACAUAUGAAUUUGAUAUUCUCAUAAAGGCAAAAACAAUCUGGGCAUAAGGAGAGAGUACUCAGAUUGUGUUGAAGGGUAUAAUAAUGUGAAAGUUCUGGAGGAUGUUUUCUUAAAGCUAAUCUUGACCAGAGUCUAAAACGUUUAGAGUAUUGGUAAUCCAGUAUAGCUUGUGGUCCUUAAUAAAAGGAUGCUGUAUUUGCUUUACUAUAGUACUUGUCUUCAAGACAAGUGCAAGAACUUAAUAUAACAAGCUCAGCUACACAUGAUAAUCCAGAAUUUUCUGCUCAAAAGAAUUGAAGGAAGAUGGCCUUUUGAAGGGCAAUUCAGUAUUUAAAGCAAUAUCAAUAAUGAGUAGAAAUGGGAGCGUUGCUUUACUAGGAUCAGCUCUACUCCAAAACUAUGGUUAUGCCUUUUUUUUUUUUAAUGAGAAUUACUUUUUAAAUUGAAAUGACCUCACAAAAUAGUUGGUUUGAGGCUUAGUGAAGGAUGCCUUGUAGAUAAUGGGCACAGAGAAUAAUGGGUUGGAGUGUUUAGCGAAUGUGGCUUUUCAAGUCUCCCCAACUCCUCCCAGGACAGGUAUUAAGGCUGGUGAUACUCAGGUCUGCCUGCCCAGGAUGGAGAAGCUUUCCAAGCCUACAUUGUCCUGAAAUUCUAGCAUAUUAUAUGAUUACAAAAACUGCCUUUCAGAAGCCAGAUCAUCUGGAUCUAACCUUCAGGAUCCAGGAACGAUCCUUGCUAAGCUACCAACAUUAUCUUGCUACAUUGCCUACAAUUGAUAUAAUAAUGAUCAGACAUUAUUCUAGAGGAAGCUGUGAGGGGCAUAUUAAUUUGGGUCUGCAGUGGUCAAAUGUAUAGUGGGAGCUAAGCCAAGCACUCUGGUCAGUUCCUACCACAUAAAUGGGAAGGUAUGUCUGGGUGUUGAAGGUGUCUGUAACCACUCUCAUGGUGCUUCUGGACAUAACAAAACCCAACUGUAUGUGUUUUGGCCAUAGCCUUAGUAGUUUGCCGAAGAUAAGGUAUUAUCUCCAGACCUAGCUGUAGGAACCAUUUGGUUGUUCUGAUACCUGUCUGGAACACACAAGGUUUAGACAGCUACUGACUAGUUGCCAGAGUCAGAAACUAUAAUCGCUGUUAUCAUUGUUUCCUCACAGAGUAAUUGGUGAGGGCUGGUGUAAUAGGAUAUGUUGGUACUGUGAAUCAAAAAUGCCAAGUAUUAACUGUUUUUUGAAGUGUAUCGAAGAAUGUGACCUCCAGAAAAAGUAUUUUGUAUAAAUAUGUCAAGUGCAAACUUAUAAGUACAAUUUGCACUGAUCAAUUUAAUAUGGUGCUUUUCAAUCUUUUUUUCUCAUUUCUCCCUUUCCCCAAAGAGAUUUUCAGUAUUUUCUCUUACAGAGUUUACAGAUGAUGUAAUAGUUGAUGAAUAUAGCUUUGCUCCAUAGGUGAGGAGUAAUGAAAAGAGUAGGAACAUAUUGUUACUACAAGCGGUACUAGGUAUUUUAUUUUCAGGUUGUAUUUGGAGAGAAGCAUCUUUAGAAUAUUAAGUUCAGACUGGUAAAAGGUAGGGUCUUCUCCCUUUAUUUUAACUUGGGAGAAAAAUUAACUUUGGGUACUUUUUCUUGUUGAAAGUUUAAGAUGAUUUUGCAGGUAUUUUUACAUUGGGGUCAAAGAACUAAGACUAUAAAUAGUAUCAUAUC